CUGGAAGGAAUUGGCAGAAUUUUGUUAGGUCCCAAUGAGGGGGGACCGGGUCAUGCGACGGAUGCAAGCUAGACUUUGAAGCAAAAAAUCCAAGAUUUCAUAGAAGAAGGAAAAAUCAACGUGGCGGAUGAACAGGAAGCUCCUAAGAACCCCAACGAAAAAAUGGGAGUUUUUAAGAAUUCGCUCUCUAGUCACACUCUGGUCUCAACAUGCUGGGCCGAGGAAGUGUCCGAUUUCCAACAUCCCCCUACCAUCACUACAAUGAAUG
rnacentral:lncRNA from 1 species